GACGAACGCUGGCGGCGUGCUUAACACAUGCAAGUCGAACGGAAAGGCCCUGCUUUUGUGGGGUGCUCGAGUGGCGAACGGGUGAGUAACACGUGAGUAACCUGCCCUUGACUUUGGGAUAACUUCAGGAAACUGGGGCUAAUACCGGAUAGGAGCUCCUGCUGCAUGGUGGGGGUGGGAAAGUUUCGGCGGUUGGGGAUGGACUCGCGGCUUAUCAGCUUGUUGGUGGGGUAGUGGCUUACCAAGGCUUUGACGGGUAGCCGGCCUGAGAGGGUGACCGGCCACAUUGGGACUGCGAUACGGCCCAGACUCCUACGGGAGGCAGCAGUGGGGAAUAUUGCCCAAUGGGCGGAAGCCUGAUGCAGCAACGCCGCGUGCGGGAUGACGGCCUUCGGGUUGUAAACCGCUUUCGCCUGUGACGAAGCGUGAGUGACGGUAAUGGGUAAAGAAGCACCGGCUAACUACGUG
rnacentral:rRNA from 1 species